rnacentral:rRNA from 1 species
AGACAGAGGGUGCAAACGUUGUUCGGAAUUACUGGGCGUAAAGCGCGUGUAGGCGGCUAGGCAAGUCGGGUGUGAAAGCCCUUGGCUCAACUGAGGAAGAGCAUUCGAAACUGCCUAGCUUGAGUCCCGGAGAGGAUAGUGGAAUUCUCGGUGUAGAGGUGAAAUUCGUAGAUAUCGAGAGGAACACCUGUGGCGAAGGCGGCUAUCUGGACGGUGACUGACGCUGAGACGCGAAAGCGUGGGUAGCAAACAGGAUUAGAUACCCUGGUAGUCCACGCUGUAAACGAUGGGUGCUAGGUGUCGCGGGCAUUGACCCCUGCGGUGCCGAAGCAAACGCAUUAAGCACCCCGCCUGGGGAGUACGGCCGCAAGGCUAAA